rnacentral:rRNA from 1 species
GCGGCGGACGGGUGAGUAACGCGUGGGUAACCUACCCCAAAGUCCGGGAUAACAGCGGGAAACCGCUGCUAAUACCGGAUGCCUUUAUCUUGGGGCAUCUUGAGGUAAAGAAAGGUAACGCUUUGGGAUGGGCCCGCGUCCCAUUAGCUAGUUGGUGAGGUAACGGCUCACCAAGGCGACGAUGGGUAGCCGGCCUGAGAGGGUGGACGGCCACACUGGGACUGAGACACGGCCCAGACUCCUACGGGAGGCAGCAGUAGGAAAUAUUGCGCAAUGGACGGAAGUCUGACGCAGCGACGCCGCGUGAGCGAUGAAGGUCUUCGGAUCGUAAAGCUCUGUCUUUGGGGAAGAAGGUCUUCGGACUUGACGGUACCCAAGAAGAAAGCCCCGGCUAACUACGUGCCAGCAGCCGCGGUAAUACGUAGGGGGCGAGCGUUGUCCGGAAUUACUGGGCGUAAAGGGUGCGUAGGCGGCCCUUUAAGUCGGAUGUGAAAGCCCGCG